AGGCCGAAAGGCGUAGUCGAUGGACAACAGGUUGAUAUUCCUGUACCACCUCUUUAUCGUUUGAGCAAUGGAGGGACGCAGAAGGAUAGAAGAAGCGUGCGAUUGGUUGUGCACGUCCAAGCAAUUAGGCUGAUAAGUAGGCAAAUCCGCUUAUCGUGAAGGCUGAGUUGUGAUGGGGAAGCUCCUUAUGGAGCGAAGUCUUUGAUUCCCCGCUGCCAAGAAAAGCUUCUAGCGAGAUAAAAGGUGCCUGUACCGCAAACCGACACAGGUAGGCGAGGAGAGAAUCCUAAGGUGUGCGAGAGAACUCUGGUUAAGGAACUCGGCAAAAUGACCCCGUAACUUCGGGAGAAGGGGUGCUUUCUUAACGGAAAGCCGCAGUGAAUAGGCCCAAGCGACUGUUUAGCAAAAACACAGCUCUCUGCGAAGCCGUAAGGCGAAGUAUAGGGGGUGACACCUGCCCGGUGCUGGAAGGUUAAGGAGAGGGGUUAGCGUAAGCGAAGCUCUGAACUGAAGCCCCAGUAAACGGCGGCCGUAACAAUAACGGUCCUAAGGUAGCGAAAUUCCUUGUCGGGUAAGUUCCGACCCGCACGAAAGGUGUAACGAUUUGGGCACUGUCUCAACCAGAGACUCGGUGAAAUUAUAGUACCUGUGAAGAUGCAGGUUACCCGCGACAGGACGGAAAGACCCCGUGGAGCUUUACUGUAGCCUGAUAUUGAAUUUUGGUACAGUUUGUACAGGAUAGGCGGGAGCCUUUGAAACCGGAGCGCUAGCUUCGGUGGAGGCGCUGGUGGGAUACCGCCCUGACUGUAUUGAAAUUCUAACCUACGGGUCUUAUCGACCCGGGAGACAGUGUCAGGUGGGCAGUUUGACUGGGGCGGUCGCCUCCUAAAGUGUAACGGAGGCGCCCAAAGGUUCCCUCAGAAUGGUUGGAAAUCAUUCGUAGAGUGCAAAGGCAUAAGGGAGCUUGACUGCGAGACCUACAAGUCGAGCAGGGACGAAAGUCGGGCUUAGUGAUCCGGUGGUUCCGCAUGGAAGGGCCAUCGCUCAACGGAUAAAAGCUACCCCGGGGAUAACAGGCUUAUCUCCCCCAAGAGUUCACAUCGACGGGGAGGUUUGGCACCUCGAUGUCGGCUCGUCGCAUCCUGGGGCUGUAGUCGGUCCCAAGGGUUGGGCUGUUCGCCCAUUAAAGCGGCACGCGAGCUGGGUUCAGAACGUCGUGAGACAGUUCGGUCCCUAUCCGUCGCGGGCGUAGGAAAUUUGAGAGGAUCUGUCCUUAGUACGAGAGGACCGGGAUGGACCUACCGCUGGUGUACCAGUUGUCUUGCCAAAGGCACGGCUGGAUAGCUAUGUAGGGCAGGGAUAAGCGCUGAAAGCAUCUAAGUGCGAAGCCCCCCUCAAGAUGAGAUUUCCCAUUCUUUAAGAAAUAAGAGCCCUGAGAGAAGAUCAGGUAGAUAGGCUGGAAGUGGAAGUGCUGUGAGGCAUGGAGCGAACCAGUACUAAUGGCUCGAGG
rnacentral:rRNA from 1 species